CGGGGCGUGCUAUACUGCAGUCGAGCGCAGGAACCGUCUGAAGCCUUUCGGGGGAAACGGCGGAAUGAGAGGCGGACGGGGGAGUAACACGUAAAAAAACUGGGCCUAUGUCUGGGAACUACCCAAGAAAACGGGGCUAUAACCGGAUGUGUCAUCUGACCCCAUGGGCCCCUUUUGAAAAGGGCUUCCCCGUCGCCCCCGGGUGGGUUUUCGGGGCAUUAUCUAGUUGGGGGGGGAAAGGCCCCCCCAGGCGACCAUGCAUAGCCCACCUGAGAGGGUGAUCGGCCACACUGGGACUGAGACACGGCCCAGACUCCUACAGGAGGGGGCAUUAUGGAAUCUUCCCCAAUGGACGAAAGUCUGAUGGAGCAACGCCCCGUGAACGAUAAAAGGUUUCUGGUCGUAAAGUUCUGUUGUAAAGGAAAAAAAAAUGUGCCAGGCAAUGGGGGGACCUUUACAGUACCUUGUGAGAAAACCACGGGUAACUACAUGCCACCAUACGCGGGAAUACAUAUGUGUCAAGCGUUGUCCGGAAUUAUUGGGCGUAAAGCGCGCGCACGCGGCCUCUCAUAUCUGAUGUGAAAGCCCCCCGGUCUACCGGGGAGAGCCAUUGUAAAAUGUGGGGGUUGAGUAUAUGAGAGAAGAGAGUAAAUCCACGUGUAGCGGUGAAAUGUGUAGAGAUGUGUAGGAACACCACUGGCGAAAGCGACUCUCUUUGGCUAUAAACUGUACGCUGAGGCGCGAAAGCGUGUGGAAUAAAACACGAUUAUAUACCCCUCGGUGAGUACCACACGAUAAACAAAUUAGUGCUAUGUGUUGUGAAGAGUUAUCCGCCGCCUCACUAGGCUGUAUGACUAAUACCACU
rnacentral:rRNA from 1 species